ACCAGGGAGGGAUUCUUGCUCUUGCUCUGUUACCUUUUCUCUUGUUACUAAGGCCACUCAUAGAAAUCCAAAUUGUUUCUCUUUCCCUUUUUAGUUCUAGGAUGACAACUCAGCUGUUUCUGGAAAAAUUACAACCUUGGCCAGGACGUUCCAAAUAAGUUAAAACAAUCUCUACAUCUGAGGGAGACAGCCUUUUACGAUGGGCUCUUCCUGUAUUACCCAGGUUGACCCUCCUGCCUCAGACUCCUGAGAAGCUGGCAUUAGGGUGUGCACCACCAUUCCCAUCUGAAUAAGGGGCUGAGGACAGAGCAGAGAAGAAACAUUGAGGGAGAAGUAAAUGAGGGGAGAGAAGAAGAAACUGAGGAGGCCGUGAGCCUGGAUGCUGCAUGGGGGAGUGAAGAAUUUGAAUUGCUGGGAUGGCCAAGAAGUGUUUGGAGUCCAGCAUCACUCACUGGGGACAUGAUGACGUUUGUUCUGCAGCAGGGAAUGUCUUCCUAGCAUGACUGGCAGUGGAGAAUGUCUGUCUUUUACUGGAAAACCCAACUCCUACAUGAAUAUGCGAUCUGGCUCUGGGGCCUCAAGAAGAAAAUCACAAUAAUACUUUUUCUAUCAUCUUCAUUUGAUGGCAUUAUCCUUGGUAACUUGAUAUAAUUUUUUUUUUGGUACCGGGGAUCAAACUUGGGACCUUGCACUUGCGAGGCAGGUGCCAGAACCACUGAGCUAAAUCCCUGGCCCAACUUGAUAUAAUUUUUAUAAAAUAAAUUUACUUCUCUAUUUCUUCUACUUGACAAUAUGUCUUGUACUUUAUUCCAUGUAAGUACAGGUCCACUUCAUUCUUUUCAACAGUUAUGUUAUUGUGAUAUAUUAUAAUUUGUUGAUGAACA